CAAUUAUUGGGUUAUAUGAGACAACUCCAUGUUUUCCAGUAGUCUAUAGUUUUCUGAGGCUUCCAGGUUCAGGAGAAGACAAAACUAAUGUACCUCUAGUUUAUUCUUCUUCUGUAUAUUGAAGAGCAGCAACAAAUCUCAAGUUUUUUUGUGAUGCAUUUCUGUUACUCUACUCCAUUGGACCAGAAGAUGUUCCCUCCUCUUCACCAUCGAAUUCUUGCUCAACACCUUUGACCUGUGUUUUGCACA